AGCCAUUUGUCAGUAGCAACAUUGUAGCCAAAUGAGGUUUAUCCGAAGUAUGAUUAUUGCUAAUAGAAAAUUUUUCACCUAGCUGCUAACACCCAGAUUGGUUUGUCUGUUUUUGAAAUUUAUAGAAAUAGAAUAAUAUA
rnacentral:snRNA from 1 species